rnacentral:rRNA from 1 species
UACGUAGGGUGCAAGCGUUAAUCGGAAUUACUGGGCGUAAAGCGUGCGCAGGCGGUGAUGUAAGACAGUUGUGAAAUCCCCGGGCUCAACCUGGGGAACUGCAUCUGUGACUGCAUUGCUGGAGUGCGGCAGAGGGGGGAUGGAAUUCCGCGUGUAGCAGUGAAAUGCGUAGAUAUGCGGAGGAACACCGAUGGCGAAGGCAAUCCCCUGGGCCUGCACUGACGCUCAUGCACGAAAGCGUGGGGAGCAAACAGGGAUAGAUA